AUGUGCAGAAAAUAUAUGUUUUUAAACCUCAUUUUGCUUGUCAUUCACUAUUUGAUUUCAUCUUUUCCAUUGUCUUUAUAUUGUAAUAUGAUUUUAUUUACAUUUGAAAAAGAAUCUUUAGCUUUUGUAUUACUGUGUUUCCCCCCCUACAUUGUACAAUAUCAAGUGUUUCUAGAAUUACAGUGA